UACGUAGGUGGCAAGCGUUGUCCGGAAUUAUUGGCGUAAAGCGCGCGCAGGCGGUCCUUUAAGUCUGAUGUGAAAGCCCACGGCUCAACCGUGGAGGGUCAUUGGAAACUGGGGGACUUGAGUGCAGAAGAAGAAAGCGGAAUUCCACGUGUAGCGGUGAAAUGCGUAGAGAUGUGGAGGAACACCAGUGGCGAAGGCGGCUUUCUGGUCUGUAACUGACGCUGAGGCGCGAAAGCGUGGGGAGCAAACAGG
rnacentral:rRNA from 1 species